UACGUAGGGGGCAAGCGUUGUCCGGAUUUAUUGGGCGUAAAGAGCGUGUAGGCGGCCAGUACAAGUCUGCUGUGAAAACUCGAGGCUCAACCUCGAGCUGUCGGUGGAAACUGUCUGGCUAGAGUCCGGAAGAGGAGAGUGGAAUUCCUGGUGUAGCGGUGAAAUGCGCAGAUAUCGAGGAAGAACACCUAUGGCGAAGGCAGCUCUCUGGGACGGUACUGACGCUGAGACGCGAAAGCGUGGGGAGCGAACAGG
rnacentral:rRNA from 1 species